GACGAACCGUGCGAACGUUGUUCGGAUUCACUGGGCUUAAAGGGCGCGUAGGCGGGCCGUCAAGUCAGGGGUGAAAGCCCCCAGCUCAACUGGGGAAGUGCCUCUGAGGCUGACGGUCUCGAGGGGGAUAGGGGCAUGCGGAACUCUCGGUGGAGCGGUGAAAUGCGUAGAUAUCGGGAGGAACACCUGUGGCGAAAGCGGCUCACUGGACCACAACUGACGCUGAGGCGCGAAAGCUAGGGGAGCAAACAGG
rnacentral:rRNA from 1 species